rnacentral:lncRNA from 1 species
GAUGAUAUGAGUGCAUGUCUUAUACAACUAAAACAUCAAUUGUGAUACUAAGGCUUCUAUAUUUUCAUUUCUGCACACUUUAGCAGAGAAACUAUCAUUUAUUAGCAUGAAGGCAUAUUUUUGACAAAGAAACCAUCUUUCAUCAGCCUGAAGGCAUGUUUUUGGAAAAGAAACUUUUUUCAUCCACCUGGAGGCACAUUUUUUGUAAAGAAACCUUUUUCAUCCACUUGUUUGUUUACCCUAAAGA